rnacentral:rRNA from 1 species
CCUACGGGGUGCAGCAGUGGGGAAUAUUGCACAAUGGGGGAAACCCUGAUGCAGCGACGCCGCGUGAGUGAAGAAGUAUUUCGGUAUGUAAAGCUCUAUCAGCAGGGAAGAAAAUGACGGUACCUGACUAAGAAGCCCCGGCUAACUACGUGCCAGCAGCCGCGGUCAUACGUAGGGGGCAAGCGUUAUCCGGAUUUACUGGGUGUAAAGGGAGCGUAGGUGGCAUGGUAAGCCAGAAGUGAAAACCCAGGGCUCAACUCUGUGGAUUGCUUUUGGAACUAUCAAGCUAGAGUGCUGGAGGGGUAAGCGGAAUUCCUAGUGUAGCGGUGAAAUGCGUAGAUAUUAGGAGGAACACCGGUGGCGAAGGCGGCUUACUGGACAGAAACUGACACUGAGGCUCGAAAGCGUGGGGAGCGAACAGGAUUAGAUACCCCAGUAGUC